UNCCUGACAUGGUGAUAGAUGGUAGGC
rnacentral:piRNA from 1 species